GAUCUGGUAGCGAAGCGGUUGAACGCACAGGAUUGCAAAUCCUGACCCGGAAGGGCGCCGCAGGUUCGAAUCCUGCCCAGAUCU
rnacentral:tRNA from 1 species